UCACACCACGAGAGAUUGUAACACCCGAAGCAGGUGGAUUAACCAUUUUGCAGCUAGCCGUCGAACGUGGGACAAAUGAUUGGGGUGAAGCCGUAACAAGGAUGCCGUAUCGGCAGGUGCGGCGGAAGCACCUCCUUG
rnacentral:rRNA from 1 species